GACGAACGCUGGCGGCGUGCUUAACACAUGCCAGUCGAACGGAAAGGCCCUGCUUUUGUGGGGUGCUCGAGUGGCGAACGGGUGAGUAACACGUGAGUAACCUGCCCUUGACUUUGGGAUAACUUCAGGAAACUGGGGCUAAUACCGGAUAGGAGCUCCUGCUGCAUGGUGGGGGUUGGAAAGUUUCGGCGGUUGGGGAUGGACUCGCGGCUUAUAGCUUGUUGGUGGGGUAGUGGCUUACCAAGGCUUUGACGGGUAGCCGGCCUGAGAGGGUGACCGGCCACAUUGGGACUGAGAUACGGCCCAGACUCCUACGGGAGGCAGCAGUGGGGAAUAUUGCACAAUGGGCGGAAGCCUGAUGCAGCAACGCCGCGUGCGGGAUGACGGCCUUCGGGUUGUAAACCGCUUUCGCCUGUGACGAAGCGUGAGUGACGGUAAUGGGUAAAGAAGCACCGGCUAACUACGUG
rnacentral:rRNA from 1 species